GGCCAAUAUGGUAAGGUGGUUAAAAGUGUAGGCCUAAUCCUAUAAGGACUUAUGAUGGGAAGAUCCAUAGGAUUUUCUAUAAAAAUAACCUAGGUCCAUUCUUCAUCCUUAAGAGAUAACAAAUCGCUUGGCUAAUCUCAUUGAAAAGCCACUAACGUAAAUAAGGAGAAGGAGAAGAAGAUCUAGUUUUUAUCCUACAAGAUCUAAUUUUAUUUUGAGGAAUUUUG
rnacentral:misc_RNA from 1 species